rnacentral:misc_RNA from 1 species
CAGCGAACAGCAAAUAGCCAAAUAUCAUCAGUUUUUUUUCUUUCUUGUUUCUUCGAUUCGUCUCUGUCGACCGAUUGGAUCCCUCAGAGCUAAAAACUUCGAAAAGCCUUGCUUUCUUAGAUGGCUAACCGAGCUCCUGUCAGAACUAACAACUCAGCCCUCAUUGCCAUGAUCGCUGAUGAGGACACAAUUACUGGAUUUUUACUGGCUGGAGUUGGCAAUGUUGAUUUGAGGAGGAAAACAAAUUACCUUAUUGUGGAUUCAAAAACAACAGUGAAGCAGAUUGAAGAUGCUUUUAAGGAAUUCACCACAAGAGAGGACAUCGCAAUAGUGUUGAUCAGCCAAUAUGUGGCCAACAUGAUAAGAUUUUUGGUUGAUAGUUACAACAAACCAAUUCCAGCCAUUUUGGAGAUUCCUUCAAAGGACCAUCCAUAUGAUCCUGCCCAUGAUUCUGUUCUAUCACGAGUGAAGUAUCUCUUCUCUACUGAAUCAGUAGCUGGCGAUAGGCGUUAAUGUUGGAGUAAUGUUUCUAUGCCCCAACUAUUUCAUAAUUAUCUUGAUAUUGUAUCAUGUCCCCACUCUAUCAAGAGAUGAUUCAUUUUGUAAUCUGUUUUAGAUAUUUAAGCGGUUUGUGUUGUUCUCGACUGUUGAUUUUCAAGUUGUAUAAGUUAAAAGUGACUGUGAAUGAACAACUUGUUGCAAAUAAGUCAGUU